rfam:Rattus norvegicus chromosome 16, whole genome shotgun sequence.
GGGGAUUUAGCUCAGCGGUAGAGCACUUGCUUAGCAAGCGCAAGGCCCUGGGUUCGGUCCCCAGCUCCG